rnacentral:rRNA from 1 species
UACGUGGGCAGCAAGCGUUGUUCGGAAUUAUUGGGCGUAAAGAGCUCGUAGGCGGUUUGUCGCGUCUGCUGUGAAAACCCGAGGCUCAACCUCGGGCCUGCAGUGGGUACGGGCAGACUAGAGUGCGGGUAGGGGAGAUUGGAAUUCCUGGUGUAGCGGUGGAAUGCGCAGAUAUCAGGAGGAACACCAAUGGCGAAGGCAGAUCUCUGGGCCGUAACUGACGCUGAGGAGCGAAAGCAUGGGGAGCGAACAGG